GCUUGUCCUACAACCGAACACCAUGUUGGAAAUGAAGUGAAACAACAGACCUCAGGGGCUACACAGACAUUGGCUGAACCAGGGCCAGGUAUCAUCACCAGUCUUCAGGAAGAAAAUAUCCGACUGAGGAAGAGAAUAGAGGAGCUGGAGGCCUUCGACUGGAUAUCUCUUGCUACUGAGGACAGCGGGUUUGUCAGUGAAGGAAGCAGUCUGGCAUCCUCAAACAGGAGUUCAGUUAUCCGGAGACGUCAGAAGGCUGAAGUUCACCGUG